GACGAACGCUGGCGGCGUGCCUAAUACAUGCAAGUUGAGCGAUGAAGGUUGGUGCUUGCACCAAUUUGAAGAGCAGCGAACGGGUGAGUAACGCGUGGGGAAUCUGCCUUUGAGCGGGGGACAACAUUUGGAAACGAAUGCUAAUACCGCAUAACAACUUUAAACAUAAGUUUUAAGUUUGAAAGAUGCAAUUGCAUCACUCAAAGAUGAUCCCGCGUUGUAUUAGCUAGUUGGUGAGGUAAAGGCUCACCAAGGCGAUGAUACAUAGCCGACCUGAGAGGGGGAUCGGCCACAUUGGGACGGAGACACGGCCCAAACUCCUACGGGAGGCAGCAGUAGGGAAUCUUCGGCAAUGGACGAAAGUCUGACCGAGCAACGCCGCGUGAGUGAAGAAGGUUUUCGGAUCGUAAAACUCUGUUGGUAGAGAAGAACGUUGGUGAGAGUGGAAAGCUCAUCAAGUGACGGUAACUACCCAGAAAGGGACGGCUAACUACGUG
rnacentral:rRNA from 1 species